GGGCCCGGGGCAGCCACCUGGCUCCUGGUCCUGGGCCCUCUGAUAAGGGAGGAGCAGUUUCACCCUCAUGACAGCCCGCCCUGCAGAUAAGCAGAGCCCUGGGGACCCUCAGCCCUGUGGUUCUGCCUGAGGGUGGGGUGGGUGGUGCUGUGCCCAGCCCUGUCCCUGCCCCCACCCGGGGACUGGAGCUGGCCCGGCAGGGCCCAGCGGGAGACAGCGUUAGGGAAGGAGCACGUGAAGUGACCCCCACCCCCAGGCGUGCAGGAUUCGGGGAAGAGCCAGCCUGGGGGUCUCAGCUGGAGGCUGAGGGAGUCAGAGGGACUCAGGUGGGGGACGAGGACCAGCAUUGAGAGCUCCACCCCCAUGGGGCACGUUGCCUCCUGCCCAGGAAACCAGAACCGGACACAGGGUCCUCGAAGGCUAAUGGCAGAGCCGACAGCUCCUGUUUCACAGCUUCACCGGCAAGGCUCCGGCGGCUUUGCUACCAGAGUCGACCAGCAGGUUCAGAUCCGGGCCGCACCCGUGGAAGUGGGGACUUGCCCACCAUGGCCACGCCCGUGACAGGAGGAACGGCCGUUCCCUGCUGAAC